ensembl:lncRNA LINC01934 long intergenic non-protein coding RNA 1934
AUCACAUUUAGAGGCCUAUUAGAGCAGAUAGCAGUCAGUGAGGGUUUUAGGAGCAGAGGUGAUAUACUUGGUGACUAAUUGGAUAAGAAGUAUGAAGAAGGAGGUGGAUUUUUAAACGACCCUAAGUCUUUUAGUUCAGGUAACUUGCUAUAUCAAUCAAGAAAGGAGUUAUCACUAAGGAAAAGAGUAAGAGCAGGAAAAGGAGAGAACUCACUACUACUGUGCCUGGUCAUCACCAUAUAUGAUUUCAUGAUUCUCUGAAAAUUCCAAUGAAGGAGACAUAAUAAGACUAAGUGAUUUGUCCAAGUUUACACAGCUAAAGAGACCAGGAUUCAAGCUCAGGACCUUUUAACUGCAAAGCCAGUGCCAUUUUGUUACAACGUCAUGAAAUCCUUCCUGGCCGGCCGCGGUGGCUCAUGUCUGUAAUCCCAGCACUUUGGGAGGCUGAAGCUGGCGGAUCAUGAGAGGGAGAAAAAACAAACAAACACACAAGAAAUUCCUCCCUUCAUUUCCUGACAGCUUCCCCUUUCUCUGAUGGCUUGUUUACUGCUGAUAUCCAGGCUCUGCUCCAAGUGGGGAAGGAGUAACCAAUCAAGUUAUUUUCAAAUAAGACCGUUUUCUUCCUAACAGACAUUCUUGUGCUGGCUAUUAAAAUCUUAAAAAUUUAACAUCAUUGCACAUACAAUGACAAAUGACAAAUGUAACAAAUUUAUAUCUUCGUGUGCAGAGAAGAAUGUCGGGAAGAAUAUACACUAGAAUGUUUACAACUAGAGAGAAUGUGCCACCUUAGGCUACGGAGAAAAGGGAGAAAAUUAAUUUUGGCUCUGCCUAUGCUGGACUUGAAGCUUUCUGUCUGUCAAAAAAUAAAAGAAGAUGGAAGGAAGGAUGUACAGAAGGAAGAAAAAAAAAAGAAAGAACCUGUGACUAUGAAGCAACACCCAAAGCCACUGUCAGAUGUCAUGGAGAUGAGACCUCACAAG